rnacentral:rRNA from 1 species
AGUGAACGCUGGCGGUAGGCCUAACACAUGCAAGUCGAACGGCAGCACAGUAAGAGCUUGCUCUUGCGGGUGGCGAGUGGCGGACGGGUGAGGAAUACAUCGGAAUCUACUUUUUCGUGGGGGAUAACGUAGGGAAACUUACGCUAAUACCGCAUACGACCUACGGGUGAAGGCAGGGGAUCUUCUGACCUUGCGCGAUUGAAUGAGCCGAUGUCGGAUUAGCUAGUUGGCGGGGUAAAGGCCCACCAAGGCGACGAUCCGUAGCUGGUCUGAGAGGAUGAUCAGCCACACUGGAACUGAGACACGGUCCCGACUCCUACGGGAGGCCGCAGUGGGGAAUAUUGGACAAUGGGCGCAAGCCUGAUCCAGCCAUACCGCGUGGGUGAAGAAGGCCUUCGGGUUGUAAAGCCCUUUUGUUGGGAAAGAAAAGCAGCAGGUUAAUCCCCCGCUGUUCUGACGGUACCCAAAGAAUAAGCACCGGCUAACUUCGUG